UACGUAGGGGGCAAGCGUUGUCCGGAAUCAUUGGGCGUAAAGCGCGUGUAGGCGGUUUGGCAGGUCUGGAGUGAAAGCCCGGGGCUCAACCCCGGAGGGUCACUGGAAACCGACAGUCUUGAGUCCGGAAGAGGAGAGUGGAAUUCCUGGUGUAGCGGUGGAAUGCGCAGAUAUCGGGAGGAACACCUAUGGCGAAGGCAGCUCUCUGGUACGAGACUGACGCUGAGACGCGAAAGCGUGGGGAGCGAACAGG
rnacentral:rRNA from 1 species